rnacentral:lncRNA from 1 species
AGAGAGAGAUUUUUAUUUUAAAUUUAAAUAUAAAUUAUUUAAAUUUACAAUUUUAUAAUUAUAAUUAAUAAAUUAAAAUUUUAAAUUUUAUUAAAGUUUAAAUUUUAAAUUUGAUAUUUUUAAAUUUUAAAUUUUAAAUUUGAUAUUUUAAGUUGUCAAAUUUUAAAUUUUAUUAAAGUUUAAAUUUUAAAUUUGAUAUUUUUAAAUUUUAAAUUUUAAAUUUGAUAUUUUUAGUUUUCAAAUUUUAAAUUUGUUAUUUUAUAUCUUUGAAAUUUAAAUUUGGUCUGAAAUUUAAAAUUUGAUAUUUAAAAUUAAAAUUUUUAAUAUUAAAAUUUAAAAUUUUAAUUUCUAAUUUAAAUUUAAAAGUUAAAAUUUUAAAUUUAAAAUUAUAAGUUUAAAAUUCAAUUAUAGGGAUAAUAUUAUUAUUUUCUAUUUAUAACUACCAACUAUUCCUUUUAUUCCCAAAAACCAUCCAAACACAAUUUUUCUAGUUCCAGCUUAUACUCACAAUUUCAUCCAAACAAAAAAAUAUCCUUGUUCCUACAAAAAUCCAUACUUGUACCUAUCCCCAGUAUAACUAGUUCCUACUAAUUCUCGAUCCAAACGGACCCUUUAAGCCCAGUU